rnacentral:lncRNA from 1 species
CAGGCUCUCUUGCAUACCAAAAACUUGAGGCAUUUGAGAAGAAUACUUCAUUUUGAGAUCCAACAACUUUCACAUACAUGGGAUAAAACACAGAAAAUGAGGAGAGCAAAAAAUCCAACUUAAAUAAAUAAGAACAUUUUGCUACAAUAAGAAAACACUGGAGGUGUAAGCUACAUGACUGGGGCAGUCGUGAUUUUAGCCCGAAUAAGCCGUCGGGGAUGGAGUUUUCAGGGCUCUGGAAUUCGUGGGGAAGAGAGUUUUCAGGGCUCUCCAACACCGAAGGUUGAAGCUAUAUGCCCAGGCUACGCGUGAUAUAUGAGACAACACAAUUUUUUGCGAUUCCCGUGGGAAGAUGGCCGGAGUUCUUAGAGCACGGUUGCGCUUUGGGCUUCCGCUUCACUGUUCUCCAAUUUGGGGGAGCUAUGGAUUUUCCCUCCCUAUUUUCUAUUCUUUUUUUGUUCUUUUCUUUGUCCU